AUCAUGGCUCAGGACGAACGCUGGCGGCGUGCCUAAUACAUGCAAGUCGAACGAGAGCGACCGGUGCUUGCACUGGUCAAUCUAGUGGCGAACGGGUGAGUAACACGUGGGUAACCUGCCCAUCAGAGGGGGAUAACAUCCGGAAACGGAUGCUAAAACCGCAUAGGUCUUCGAGCUGCAUGGCUUGAAGAGGAAAAGAGGCGCAAGCUUCUGCUGAUGGAUGGACCCGG
rnacentral:rRNA from 1 species